GACGAACGCUGGCGGCGUGCCUAAUACAUGCAAGUCGAGCGGAAGUUGGAGAGCUUGCUCUUCAACUUUCGCGGCGGACGGGUGAGUAACACGUGGGCAACCUGCCCUGCAGAUCGGGAUAACUCCGGGAAACCGGUGCUAAUACCGAAUAGUUUUCGCCACCUCCUGGUCGCGUACGGAAAGACGGUUUCGGCUGUCACUGCCUGAUGGGCACGCGGCGCAUUAGCUAGUUGGUGGGGUAACGGCCCACCAAGGCGACGAUGCGUGGCCGACCUGGGAGGGUGAUCGGCCACACUGGGACUGAGACACGGCCCAGACUCCUACGGGAGGCAGCAGUAGGGAAUCUUCCGCAAUGGACGAAAGUCUGACGGAGCAACGCCGCGUGAGUGACGAAGGUUUUCGGAUCGUAAAACUCUGUUGUGAGGGAAGAACAAGUACCAACUAACUACUGGUACCUUGACGGUACCUCACCAGAAAGCCACGGCUAACUACGUGCCAGCCGCCGCGGUAACAC
rnacentral:rRNA from 1 species